CUGCUAUGAACAUUGAUGUGGCUGCUUUACUAUAGUAUGUUUAUUUUAAGUCCUUUGGGUAUAGACUGAGGAAUGGGAUAGCUGGAUCAAAUGGUGGUUCCAUUCCAGAUUUUCUAAGGAAUCUCCAUACUGUUUUCCAGAGUGGUUGCACCAAUUUGCAGUCUCACCAGCAAUGUAUGAGUGUUCCUUUUCCCCCACAUUCUCACCAACACUAAUUCUUAUUUAUAUUCUUGAUAACUGCCAUUCUGAUCGGUGUGAGAUGAAAUCUUAGAGUAGUUUUGACUUGCGUUUCUCUAAUUACUUAGAUGUUGAACAACAUUUUUUCAUAUAUUUGUUGAUCGAUUGUAUAUCGUCUUCUGAGAAGUGUCUGUUAAGCUCCUUAGCCCAUUUAUUGAUUGGGUUGCUUGUUUUUUGUUUUUGGGGGGGUUUUUUGGUAUUUUUUUUUUAGUUCUUUAUAUAUCCUGGAGAUUUCACUUUCUGCAUUAACAUAGGGGAAGCACCUCAUAUCCAAAUCAUAAUAGUAUAAUGCCGUUUGUGUUAAAAUGAAAGGGAAAUGCCUGUAUUCCUUGUAGUGCAUAGAACAUUUCUAAGAGAAUAAAACUCUGGAGAGUAUGUCAGACAGAGGCAGAAGAGGGUUUAUAUUUUUACUUUAUAACCUUCUUUACUGUUUCAACUUUUUGCCAUGCGUAUACUACUUUUGAAAUAAAAAGCUACCUUUUUUUUU
rnacentral:lncRNA from 1 species